rnacentral:lncRNA from 1 species
GUAUGGGCUAAAGAUUAAAUUAACACUACCCACCACAAGUGUUAAUGGUUUUCUUGACUCUCUUCAGUGCUGUUUUAGCAUUCUCAAAUAAAAUAAGCUUGGGUAUAGGACUGGUAUGGAAGGGAGAACAAGUUUACCCCAAUCUGUGGGAGAAUUCCAUGGCUCCCUGAUUUUGUUUAUCCAUCCUAUUUAUGGAGCUUUAUCACUUCUGUGGGAUUUCUGGCACUUUGCUUCUUUUCUGUAUGUAUCAUUUUUGCAAUAGGGCAUCUUGCCUAUUUUCCAGAAAACAUUUUUAUGUUGUCCCUCUCAUUAAAGAGAAGGUUUAUUUUCCCAUUAACUCCUAAAGAAGGCAGAACUAAUCAGCUGUGGAGUUUUAGCCCACUGAUCAAUGCUAUCUGUAAAUUGCGUUGGAAGGCUAAUUCCUUGUUUCUGCACUAAAGAACCAUAGGAAAUAAUGCAGGUCAAGAACAAGGACAUAUCCCAUGCAAGCAGACAGACUCCAGCCAGCAUAAACUGUGGUGAUUGCAUGGAGGAGGAGGAGGAGGAGGAGGAGGAGGAGGAGGAGGAGGAGGAGGAUGUCUCUGCACAAGGAACAGUACAGGGAAAACUGUGUGGAAACAUCCCCAUCUUCUGUGUCUUGGCCCCGUGGGAAUUUCCUGAAGACUUAGGAACUCCACGGCAAAACUCUUCUGACAGAAGAAAGCCUGCUGAAUUUGGGAAGUGUAUACACAAGUGAACAGCUCACAUUAGUGCACAGUAUUGAGUUGACCUUAUGCUUCAAGAACAUGAAGGCAUCAUCACUUCUUCAAGAAUCUGGUGCAACUGAUAUAUAAACCAUGAGGAGGUUAAAAAUGAUAACCAUAAAAAUACUUGGAGAAGACUCAUGGUAGUUACAAAACAAAAGUAUUCUACUGCCUUUGUUUCAUUUGCUUCAAAAAUGAGUCCAUGCAAAAUUUUCCUCCACACAGAUUAAAUAUCUGCUUGGUCUCCAAUUUUUUGAGUUAAUGAACAACACUAAUGAAUUUUUAUGUGACCAUCCAUAACUAUAUUUGCUAUAGGUAAUCUUUCAUGUCUUCAUCUUCAUAGAGAAGGGUGUUUACUUUUAUCAGUAAAACUGCUAUUGUUUUUGUUCCAAAACCUCCACUGAUGGCAUCAGCAUUUCUGUGGCCAGAGUAACUUCUUUAUAGCUGGAGUAGGGAAGGUACAGCAAGUUUCUGGCAUUUACAAACAUGUGGUCAAAGUGAUUUGAGAUGAUUAUAUUCAGAAUGAAAUGAAAUCCACAGUUGUCGAAUUCACAGUGUAUCAAACAAACCAUGAGCUGGCAGCAGGCAAAAUUCCUAUCUGCACCCCAAGGACAUGGAAUUCUUCACACCAUCAAAGCUCUCUGAGAUAUUGAGCCCUCAUAGAUGUUGUGUUAGUCUGAGGGUUGUAACUAGUCUUCAGUCUUGAUCAAUUGAAGUUCAUCCUUGCUAUACUUUUAGUCAUUGGCUAGAAUGUUGAGGUCACAUCAAUAAAGCAGAAAAGUAAGGUUGUUAAGAUUUUAAG